GAUGAACUCUGGCGGCGUGCCUAAUACAUGCAAGUCGAGCGAACGGACGAGAAGCUUGCUUCUCUGAUGUUAGCGGCGGACGGGUGAGUAACACGUGGAUAACCUACCUAUAAGACUGGGAUAACUUCGGGAAACCGGAGCUAAUACCGGAUAAUAUUUUGAACCGCAUGGUUCAAAAGUGAAAGACGGUCUUGCUGUCACCUAUAGAUGGAUCCGCGCUGCAUUAGCUAGUUGGUAAGGUAACGGCUUACCAAGGCAACGAUGCAUAGCCGACCUGAGAGGGUGAUCGGCCACACUGGAACUGAGACACGGUCCAGACUCCUACGGGAGGCAGCAGUAGGGAAUCUUCCGCAAUGGGCGAAAGCCUGACGGAGCAACGCCGCGUGAGUGAUGAAGGUCUUCGGAUCGUAAAACUCUGUUAUUAGGGAAGAACAUAUGUGUAAGUAACUGUGCACAUCUUGACGGUACCUAAUCAGAAAGCCACGGCUAACUACGUG
rnacentral:rRNA from 1 species